CCGGUGAGGGAACCGUAGCCUUCGGAGAGGGGGAAGGUAACAACUCCGAAACGGAGUGCUAUACCGCAUGAUGCAUUGGGUCGCAUGGCUCUGACUGCCAAAGAUUUAUCGCUCUGAGAUGGCCUCGCGUCUGAUUAGCUAGUAGGCGGGGUAACGGCCCACCUAGGCGACGAUCAGUAGCCGGACUGAGAGGUUGACCGGCCACAUUGGGACUGAGACACGGCCCAG
rnacentral:rRNA from 1 species